GAUGAACGCUAGCGGCAGGCUUAAUACAUGCAAGUCGAGGGGUAGCAAGAUUGUAGCAAUACAAUUGUUGACGACCGGCAAACGGGUGCGGAACACGUACACAACCUUCCUACAAGUGGGGAAUAGCCCAGAGAAAUUUGGAUUAAUACCCCGUAACAUAGCGAUGUGGCAUCACAUUGCUAUUAUAGCUUCGGCGCUUGUUGAUGGGUGUGCGGCUGAUUAGAUAGUUGGCGGGGUAACGGCCCACCAAGUCUACGAUCAGUAGCUGAUGUGAGAGCAUGAUCAGCCACACGGGCACUGAGACACGGGCCCGACUCCUAGGGGAGGCAGCAGUAAGGAAUAUUGGACAAUGGACGCAAGUCUGAUCCAGCCAUGCCGCGUGAAGGAUUAAGGUCCUCUGGAUUGUAAACUUCUUUUAUAAGGGACGAAAAAAGGUCUUUCUAGAUCGUCUGACGGUACCUUAUGAAUAAGCACCGGCUAACUCCGUGCCAGCCGCCGCUGUAAUAC
rnacentral:rRNA from 1 species